AAUCAACGCUGGCGGCGUGCCUCAGACAUGCAAGUCGAACGCGAAAGUCUCCUUCGGGGGACAAGUAGAGUGGCGCACGGGUGAGUAACACGUAGGUAAUCUACCUUCGGAUGGGGAAGUAACAACCGGAAACGGUUGCUAAUACCGCAUAAUGCAGCGGCACCUAAUGGUGACAGUUGUUAAAGCGGGGGAUCGUAAGACCUCGCGUCUGAAGAGGAGCCUGCGGCGGAUUAGCAGUUGGUAAGGUAAUGGCUUACCAAGGCUACGAUCCGUAACCGGCCUGAGAGGGCGGUCGGUCACACUGACACUGACAUACGGGUCAGACUCCUACGGGAGGCAGCAGUCGGGAAUUUUGGGCAAUGGGCGAAAGCCUGACCCAGCAACGCCGCGUGAA
rnacentral:rRNA from 1 species